rnacentral:rRNA from 1 species
CAGCCGCCACGGUAAAACGUAGGUGGCAAGCGUUGUCCGGAAUUAUUGGGCGUAAAGGGCUCGCGGGCGGUUUCUUAAGUCUGAUGUGAAAGCCCCCGGCUCAACCGGGGAGGGUCAUUGGAAACUGGGAAACUUGAGUGCAGAAGAGGAGAGUGGAAUUCCACGUGUAGCGGUGAAAUGCGUAGAGAUGUGGAGGAACACCAGUGGCGAAGGCGACUCUCUGGUCUGUAACUGACGCUGAGGAGCGAAAGCGUGGGGAGCGAACAGGAUUAGAUACCCCCGUAGUCCCUGUCUCUUAUAC